UGGUGCGUAGUUCAGUUGGAAGAACGCUUGGCUCUGGACUAAGAGGUCGCAGGUUCGAUCCCUGCCGCACCUA
rnacentral:tRNA from 1 species